UAGGGAAUCUUCGGCAAUGGACGAAAGUCUGACCGAGCAACGCCGCGUGAGUGAAGAAGGUUUUCGGAUCGUAAAACUCUGUUGUUAGAGAAGAACAAGGACGUUAGUAACUGAACGUCCCCUGACGGUAUCUAACCAGAAAGCCACGGCUAACUACGUGCCAGCAGCCGCGGUAAUACGUAGGUGGCAAGCGUUGUCCGGAUUUAUUGGGCGUAAAGCGAGCGCAGGCGGUUUCUUAAGUCUGAUGUGAAAGCCCCCGGCUCAACCGGGGAGGGUCAUUGGAAACUGGGAGACUUGAGUGCAGAAGAGGAGAGUGGAAUUCCAUGUGUAGCGGUGAAAUGCGUAGAUAUAUGGAGGAACGCCAGUGGCGAGGGCGGCUCUCUGGUCUGUAACUGACGCUGUGGCUCGAAAGCGUGGGGAGCAAACAGG
rnacentral:rRNA from 1 species